GUGCCAGCAGCCGCGGUAAGACAGAGGUGGCAAGCGUUGUUCGGAUUUAUUGGGCGUAAAGCGAACGCAGGCGGUUUGGUAAGUCAGGGGUGAAAGACCACAGCUUAACUGUGGUAUUGCCUUUGAUACUGCCUUUCUUGAGUGGAGUAGGGGGAAGCGGAAUUCCGAGUGUAGAGGUGAAAUUCGUAGAUAUUCGGAGGAACACCGGUGGCGAAGGCGGCUUCCUGGACUCUAACUGACGCUCAUGUUCGAAAGCGUGGGUAGCAAACAGGAUUAGAAACCCCCGUAGUCC
rnacentral:rRNA from 1 species